rnacentral:rRNA from 1 species
CCUACGGGAGGCAGCAGUGAGGCAUAUUGGGCAAUGGAGGCAACUCUGACCCAGCCAUGCCGCGUGAGUGAAGAAGGUUUUCGGAUUGUAAAGCUCUUUCGGAUGUGACGAUGAUGACGGUAGCAUCUAAAGAAGCCCCGGCUAACUUCGUGCCAGCAGCCGCGGUAAUACGAAGGGGGCAAGCGUUGUUCGGAAUUACUGGGCGUAACGGGAGUGUAGGCGGUUUAGUAAAAUAGUUUUAAAAUCACAGAGCUUAACUUUGGAAUUACCAGUAUUACUAUUAGACUAGAAUUACAUAGAGGAUAGUGGAAUACCCAGUGUAGAGGUGAAAUUCGUAGAUAUUGGGUAGAACACCAGUUGCGAAGGCGAAUAUCUGGCUGUACAUUGACGCGGAGGCUCGAAAGCAUGGGGAUCAAACAUGAUUAGAGACCCCAGUAGUC